GGGGGGGGGGAGUGGGGGAGCGGGGACCUGCCGCCGCCGGCGGCUCUUUGUCUGCUCGGGCAACUUGAACAAAAGGAGAAACUCGGGUGAACUCCGCAUCUCUCCCGGAUUAGCUCAUCUUCGGCAACUUUAUCCGGAGAGAUCGAGGCAACUUUCUCCCAUCUCUCCCGCCUCUUCAAAGCGGUCAGCCUCGCUGUAGGCUCGUGAGGAAACCGGGGUUCGCAGUGUAAAGAAAGCAGAAGGUACGACUUGUCUUCGGGCUUAUUGUUCUCCGCGCGCUCCCUCGCCCCCCCGCCGGCCGCGCUCCGGCUGCGGAGUGCGCGAGGGGGACGGCUGCGGGCCGCCCUUUGUACUGCGCGGAGCACAUGCAGGUCAAAACAUGGCUGUCCAAAGAAUGGGAUGCUUGCCAAAACAUCAAUCUGUGCUGAGUGCCAUACUCAUUAUCCUUCCAGUGGUGGAUUACAACUCGGGUCUCCUCAGGAGGUGACUGAUGUGGAACAAACUGUACGACUGUCUUUGCUGUUUGGAUACGUGUGUAAGUUAACGGGCUACUGGGAGAAGAUGAAGAGGCUUUUGCAGAAAAAUGAGGAUAUCAUGGGAAGUGCUGCUGCUAACCAUUUGGAUUAUAUUGCUGUCUGACACAGAAGUUCUGCAGAUUACGUAAGGUAUGCUUCUCCCUGACUGUUGCAAAAACACGGUCUCAUAUAUCAAAAUAUUAAGCACAUUGUCUAAAUUUUAAAUAAACUUGCUUUUUAACCUGUUUUUUUCUGUCUUUGCCUUGGUGUUGAUGUCUACUAAUAGUUUUGAGUGGUGUAAUCACACAGAAAUGCCUUACUAAUGGUUUGUCAAUGUGCAUAUCUGUAGUGUUGAAGGAACAACUGAACAUGAAAAUAUUUGUUUAUAGAGUUAGCCGAUAUUUUUAAGGUAAUUUCUUCGUUGGGUCUAAGGAGCGCAUAGCAUCUCUAGAGAAAAUUGGACUAAUGGACUUUCCUUAAAAAUAAGUUAAAAACAGCUUAAACAAAGCAUUUUCCACAGCUGUGAUCUUCUAAAUAGCCAACUUUGUUUUAAGGCAUGUUACUAUUUUGAGUUGGACUCAAGACUGCAACAUUCUAUUAUUUAACCUCUCUUCUCCCAAAUAGUGACAAAAUGCUUUAUGGACAGUUUGUGUGAGAGAGCAAAUAGAAGUCUUUAGCUUAAAUUUUCAAGGAAUGCUUUUGUUUCAUAUGUUUUUAAAGUAUGAUUUAAAUGCUUUUUGCAGACUGUGUUUGCAUCGUGAAUGUCCUAGUGCUGUGAGGCUCUCUUGGAUGCAGACAGGAUUAUAUGAGAUAACCAAUGUACAAAACAGAAAUGAAAACUAGUGGAGACAACAAGCUGUCAGAGAGUUGUUCACAAACAACACAUUGUUUAAGAACCUAGAUAUUAACAGCUAAUCCAGUGAUGAGGAAAUUAUUGCUCCCCUUGGUGAGCUAUUGAAAUCACAAAGCAAAUUUUAGAACUAUUUAAAAACUGAUCAGUUUGCACCUGUUCUGUGUACUUCUCAGUUACAGCUGAAAAUGAAUGAUAUAAAAAUUGUUGCUUUUGCUGUGUAUUUCUGCUCAUUGUAUUGGUUCAUCUCUAGCCCAUAUGUAGGGCAGACAAAUAUUUGUAAUCUUAAGAAAAGUGCUGAGCUGGCUGGCCUACUUUGGAGCAAAAUAGGAAUCUGAACAAAUAAUCACUUGUUAUCCCUUCUAGUUGUAAACAGGGAUACAAAAGGCAAUAAAUGCAGUACUAAUUUCCUGGUUCUGACUUGUUAAAUAAAGACCUAGUCUUAAUUUUCUUGAUUGUUGAGGACAAGAUUUCUGUUACUUACUAAAUGCAAUUAAGGUACAUUUAGAUUUUUAUUCUUAAUUUUGUUCUGCAUCAGUACUGCUUUUGAACUUUGUAUGACUUAAGUUAGCGGUAUGAGAGUCUUUAAUUUGAAGUCUCAGGAAAGGAAUGUCCCACACUGUUUGUGGAAAGGGGAAGAGAAGAAUAAUAAGUGGAUUGUAGCGGAUAAGAGUGUUUGGAGCUGCUAUCUGGCAUCUUAUUACAUUUUUCUAUUUAAAGGAAAUCAAAACUACAAUCUUUUUUUUCUUUCUGUGCAGAUUCUCUUUUUACUCAGUUUCUUCUUAGGCAUUUUCAUGUCUUUCUGAAAGCUAAUCUGUAUGGUGGUUAUUCUUCAUAACAGUGAAGGUGAAAGCCAUUCAUUUUCAUCAACACUGAAAACUGAAUUUUUACAUAGAGUAAAUAGGGGGAACUUUUUAUCUUGUCUUGAGAGUUGAAAUAGAUUGAAUGCUGUAGGAUUCAGGAUACAUUGCGCAAAUUAUGAGACACAUUAGUGUUUGUUUAUACCUGGAAUAUUUCUGGCAAUGAUUACUAAAGUGACAGAACUGUUAAGAUAUGAAGAGGAAGAAUAAAGUUUAUCUUCAAAUUACUUUGAGCUACUUCCAAUAAAACAAUGAGAAGUAUUCUCAUAUUCUGAGAUAUCAGAGGAGAGAGGGAAGGUAAGGUCAGCUAGGAAGCAUCUCCAUGAUAGCUUCCAACAGGGUAGGUAUGCUGUGCUGGUGAGAGGCAAGGCCCUUAAAAUACAUUGGUCACUCUGAAAGUAAUUCCUCCUGUUUUUUUGUUUUUUUUUUAUUUUUUCCCAUGGAAACUACAACAGAUACUAAGAGCACGAUAACACUAAUUAAUAGAGUGAAUUCUCAGCUGCAGAAGACUGUUUUUCAACAUAGUCACCACCAUUAGCUAUGCAUUUUUGUCAGCCAUGAACAAGGGCCUGCAUGCCGCACUCAUAAAAACCUGCACCAGUCGAGGUGAUCCACUGUCACUGUCUCCAGUACUGAAGUGCACCGCCCAUUGCCUCACUGUGAUUGCAUCCACUGUUUGCUCUCUAUCAACAUUCAGCAAACAUCAGUGAAUGUCAGUUGGUGCCAUUUUUUUCCACAUGGAGGAAUUCAGUGACGUAUCUUUUCUUCAUACGCACUUCCAUGUCUGAUGCCAUUUUGUCAGACUGCUCCACUGCUGCUGCUGUCUGUUAUAUGGCAAAAAAUGUAACAAAAUAUUGGCAGCAAGGUUCAACCUCUACUUCCAUACCGCCAUUCACCCACCAUUGUGGGUUAACAUAAUGAAACAGGAGGCAUUACUGUUGGAGCGGCCUUUUUACUUUCAGUGACUCCAGGCAGGACACAGCAGAAGGGAACCUGCCCCUUUCUCCUGGAUUGAUCCCAGCAAAAGGGUUGUGACACCACUGGUCUUGCCUUGGUGAGGCAUGCAGGAUUAGUGCUGUGGGGAAGGAGCAUUGCCCUAGGAGGGGCGAUGGGGAGAACCUGUCCUAAAAUGUGUAAGAAUCAACCUCACUGCCUCCAGAGGAAGCUGGCUGUGAUGAGCUGAUGCUUGCAAGGAGAUCUUCAGGUCUUCAGUGGGUUGUAACACUAGCUCCAUAGAAGGGUGUGAUGCCCUCUUCGCGCCCUGGUUUGUUCUGGUGGUUUGUGGUUGCAGUUGGUCCACUUCUUGCUUUGCUUGUGGCUGUCCAAGAAGGAAGUCUUUGCAGGCGUCCUGGGCUUGAGGCUGAGCUCUGAACUCCUACUUACAAGCCUCCCCCGAGGUUGUCACACUGCUAGCAGAACUUUCACUUACCAAACUCAGACCUUCAGAGACAUGGUUCCUCCUUUUGGCUAUGCUCUCAGUUCAGGAAGUCUGUGUACUUGGUAGUGUGUGCAAAUGUCGUGCUCCACAAAAAGGGGGGAGCAUGAUCAGCUGAAGUGUGAGCUCCAGAACUCCCAGGUGAGGUAAAACUUCUGAGAAGCAAUAGACCCAUGUGUGUUCCACUGGUUUCUGUGAUGAAACAGAGACAAGGAUGAUUUCUUGAGACCCUCUGCCUUUCUCAUUUCCACAGGAAAGGCUAGGUCCUGGCACUGCAGGGUGUAGGAGUUUCCUUUUCCAGCAGCUCUGCCAGAGAGUCUUUCUUGGCAUGUGGAGUACAGUUUGAGAAGCAGAUUUCAGAAAUUUGAUUGUUUCUCCCUGAAAAGGGGAACAAUCUGAGGAGUAGUGUGUAAUUGGGAGGAGAUGGACAAUGGGAAGCACUGACUCCAGUCUACAAGGUGAAGGCAAGUUGGGAGCUAGGCGAUGUGGUCUCUCCAUGUGCAGAUGUUGGGAACAGCCUCACAGUUCCCAGGGAUGUGGGUGAGUUAGUAGCUUUGGCUCCAAAGAUAAUGGUAUUACUAACUUUUUUUUUUUUUUUUUUUGGUCUGUCUUGUUUUUUUCCUUUAUUUAGCCCAGUGCUGAUGGAAUCUCAUGAGCUGUAUCACUGAGCUUGAUGUUUUCUUUUUUUCUCUGCUUUCACUUGCUUUUCACUUUAUGGAAUAACUUGAGGUACAACAAAACCAAAAUCAGUAUUGGAGUAGGUUUGUUUUUUCUUUGUGUGAGCAAAUUCCAGAAGAGAGGAAGGAUUGUUGGCCAAGGUUAGACAGGGAGUUGCUGCUUGAAAUCUGUUACAGUAAUGGUUCAGAAACACUGCAUGCAAACAUAUAAUGAAGUUUCCACACCUUGUGAGGUACUUCAUGUAAAGUAUUAUUACCUGUGUCAGAACAGAGGCAGAGGCAUAUGUUUUCUGUAAUACAGUUUCUUUUCUCUUGAUUCUGUUUAUGCAGCAGGAAGAUUUCUGACUCACUAGCAGAUACUAUUUUGAUUAUUUCUUUUUGCUUGCAUUUUCAUAACAUGAAACUUGUCACAAACUAUUUAUGAAGUCUGAUGUAGUGUGCUAUUGCGCUUGAUACCUUGACCUUUUUGUGAUUAAAAUGCAUAGACAUGGCUGGGUUAGGUAGAGGGAGACAGGUGAGGUAGGAUCCUUUCCAACCUUGUGAUUCUAAGAUUCUAUGAUUCUAAGUGCAGAGUCUGUAUUCAUAUAUAUGAAUAUCUUACAUUAGUGAGAAAAUACUGUGUUUGAUUCUGUACAAAGAAGAAAGAUGAAGAAAAUGCUCAUACCUAAUCUAAAUGUGCUUGCUCCUGCUAAAAAUAGCAAAAUGAUUAAACUUUCUAUAUAGUUUAUCAAUACUUAAAUACUAAAAUAAGCUAUUCUUCCCUUUAGGUACAGUAUUGCCAUAGUGUGAAUUAUAUUGCAUUUUGAUAUUUAAGUGUUCCAGUAUUGAUAUCUAUCUAUCUAUCUAUCUAUCUAUCUAUUUCCCCUUAAACAUUGUUCCUAAGGCAUUUUGUCCAUGAAAAGUGCUGCAUUAAGACCUGCACUUGAACAUGAGUGUAGUGUUGUUCUGGAUGUGUCUUCUGUUGCUUCUUCAGUGAAGUAGAACCAUCUAUUUUUGUGGGAAUCCUUACAGGCAUGGCAGGUGGAUGAGGUGGUGGUGUAGUGGUGAAGGCACACAGUAGUCAUAAAAUGUAGUAAGUGGACAUUAUGAAUAGGUAUGCUGGGUGGAUAAAGAUGCGGUUUGAUUUAAUUAUGAGCUAGCAAUGUCAAGUGAGGAAAGGAAGUGGCGAAGAAUCUUGAAUGCAAGGGCUGGUAGCUGGUGAUUGAUGUGGUAGAGAGGAGAGAGGUGGAUAUUGUGGAAAUGGAUUAGAAGCUAUUGUCAUAAUUUAUGUGCCUGAAGGCUUGUGCCAUCAGAGUAUUUCUAAUGGAAAAAUGUAGUGAAAUCUUUAAACGUCUGUAACACAGGUUAUAAAUAUCACAGGGAUCAGCAGUAUUGGCUUCUUUAUGGUGGAUGAUAAAAUUGUUUCUGCUUAAUGCUGCAUGGUGAAUUGAAGUUAACUUUAGCACUGCAUGUUUUGAGUAAAAUUUGCUCCAAAAACAACUCUUGUCUUCAUUUGAGGAUAUGAGUUAGUCUCUGCUGCCUGGUUUUGCAAUAUUGCUUAAGGCAAGGAUUCAUUUAGGUAAGUGGUUCAGGGAUUGCAUAUGCAAUUUAAAGAUUAUCUCAGAGCUGAGAUUUUGUGUGGCUGCUUGUUUAGCUAUCUUUCAGAAUUUGCAGGCUGGCUUUCAGUUGGUAUUUCUGUAUUACUCUGUGUGCAUACUCUGAAAAUAAUAAAAGAAGAUACCUAUACUAUGCAGUGAGCACUGAGGUAUAUGCAAACUGCUACUCUUGCUGUGCAUAGCACAACACCAAUCUGUGCACUACAUUAGGUCCAGAAUCACAGCACUGCUGGAUGCGAUCUAUUAAGUGCUGCGUCUCAGCUGAGCUUGCAUAUUUGUGAUUUCACUUGUGUUGGUGAUGAGCAUGACCCGAGCCAAUAUAGCUCCUUGGGUACCAUGGUGGGAUGGGCGUGUGGGCUUGGUUGUGCUUUCUGGAGUUGCUGCUGUUUGACAUCUUCAGGCUGCAACAGUUAGAAACUACAAAGAUGUUAGACAAAACAGUCUUGGUAAAGAUGAAAAUUUUCAAGAUGAAGGAUGUGCUUUCCUUGUCUGAGAUUUGAGUUUGCCAUAUUUGCAAAGUUUUGUCAUGCAAUAUAGGCUGCUACUCUAUUUAUUCGAGCCCUUGGAUCUUUGGAGCAUGUUUAAGAAUUGGUUCUUAGUGAAAAACAGACACUGGAGGUGGUGGUUCUGGUUCACAACUGUCUGUGUUCACUGCAUUGCUUCUUUAUCUUUAAAUUUAUUUCAUUUAAUUUCUACACUUGAAAAAGAAGCAUUGAAAAACAUUACUAAAAUCAACAGUUUUUUUCUUUAUCAUGCAGAUAUCUUUCAGCUUCAGGACUUAUAAACAUUGUUUUCAUAGCCUCUUAAUCUAUGCAUUUUGCUGCUUUAUCACUUUAAAACUUCUCUUUUGUGUGAGGUUAAAAUCUGUGUCCUAGAUCUUCAAAAGACUUUGAUGAAUGAGCAUUUCCAGCCUUAUUUAUUUGAUGAUUUGAAUGUACUGUGAAAAACUGUGUUUAAGUUGAGAGAAAAGUUGAGUGAUUAUUGCUUCUAAAGCAUAAACGAGAGCACAGCUUGCAAAAACAAAUUAGCCUGUAAAAAAUCUAUGUUGUCAACUCAGUUACUCUCUAGACAUCAGCUAUUGGCAUUAGCUGGAAAGAGAUUAAGGUCUUUCUCCUGCAGGAUUUCCAGCACUCAGGCAGUGGAGGUAGGAGGCUACACCCUGACUUAUGCUCAUGACAGUGGUUCAUUCUACACUUGCUCAUAGAACUGAAAAGGGAGUUUUGAAGGCAACAAGAGCAUAAAGUCACUCCUUCUCCCUGAAGAAAUGAACAGUGUGCUUAACAUUGGUUUUGGAUCACACAGUGCAUCUGGAUGCAAGAUUAUGUAGAUUCCAUCUCAUUCUGCAUGUUUUACAUAAGGAAGGUGUUGAGUAUGAGCUUAAAUGUGUUUUAGAGUAGUAUCUUACAAUUACCCGUGUUUCAGAUGAAUUUGCACGUGUGUGCACACGCCAUGCUUAGAUGAAUUUGUUCAUGUGUGUGCACACCAUACUUACAGCCCCAAACUAAAGGAGUGGUGCUGGAAGCAUCUUCAUGAAGGGGACAUGAUUUUUUUCCCACUUCUGUUUGAAGCAAUGGUUCAUGCAUUCCCAGCCCCUGCUUCUGUUGUUUGUGUUAGUGCUAUUCUUUGCUGUGUUCCCUUUUCACUUUAGUUUUUAGCUACUUGAAAUAUACAACCUGUUCCAAUUUACCAAUUUGUUUCUUAGAAUACAUCCUGUGUGCAAAUCCUUAUCGGUCAGAAACAUAAUGGAAAAGUGACUAUUGAAUUAGUAGUGAUCAGGGGUAUACUGAGAGAACACCACUAUAAUUAGUUGUAAAAUACUUUAUCUCAGCCUCAGGCGUGCUGCUAACUCCUCCUCUUCUCCAUCUUUCUUCAGAAGACAUUGCUGAAAAGCAGUGGGGCAUAUCUGAAGCAGAACUAUGAUAAACAUUAAAAAAAUAGUUUUUGGUAGUUGACAUGGCUUAAUUUUUAUGUCUGUGUAUAUAAGUGUAUAUACAUAUGUUCGUUUGAUAGAAUUGCUUCAAAUUAAGCAGAGUGUAAAAUUUGAAGUAGCUAUAGAAACCAGUAUUUUGUUGUUUGUGGUGUUUAAAUACUUCAUUUUAGCAUCCUUAAUAAGAAUUAUUCUGAGUGCCACCAAAGUGUUGUGUGCUUGCUGUGGUCUUGAUGCAUUGCAGGUGUAUUAGUGACUGUGUUUGAGGCAGGUGGAAGGGUGUUCUCAAAGGAAGACCAGAACCGUUCACAAAUUGAUUUCUGUCCUUUUGUGAAUAUGAAGAAAUCAAUCUACUGCUUUGACCUUGGAUUACACAUUGCAGUUGAAAUAGUUUUUUGCCCUGAACUCAGCUGCAAAGGACAGUGAGUUAAGAUGACAAAUCUGAGAGAGUAGGGCAGAAAAAGAGGGUAAGAAUACUUUUGCAGACCUGUAUGCUUAAGACUGCUGCCCAGUGUUAUGCAUAUUCAACUGUGUGUGGAUUUUUUUUUGUUUUUAAAGUGGGGGUACAGUGGUUUGUUUUCACUCUUAAACUCUAAACAUUUCCAGGCUGAAGAGAACUGUGAAGGUAGACACUGUUAUUUCAGGUCAAUGCCUGGAUUAACUUCUUGGCAAUAAUUUGUUAUAGAUCAUAUACAGCCAUCACUGCACAACACAGAAAGUGAACCAGAGUACCUCUAGUUCUGCUCAGGCAAGAUCAAUUUCUUCCACAGAAAAAACAGAAGGAGAGGCAAGGGUUGCAUGUGGCAUAACAACCUCUUGCCAGAAAGAUCUGUGGUAGUACCUAUUGUGGAGUAUGCAGUUAGUGUACCUAGUUUCUCUGUGAAGAGGACCAGUGUGCACUCAUCGGAAGAUUGGCAUAUUCACUGGACUAUUAGUGUUGUAAUAUGUAUUUUCAGUUAUUUUUGAUUUGAACUUCCAUUUAUCUUUGUGUUUAAAGAUGAAAAAUUGAGACUGAAAAAUACUGCUCUGAUAUCUGCACUUGAAUCUACAUUGUACUUUCUGUGUAGUGGAGCUGGCAAAAUCUAUAGGCACUAGUGUUUCUUUCAUUUUCAUGUUUUCCAAAUGGAGAGGGGAACAAAUAAUUCAUUAAGCAUAUUUAAUUUUUCUUAUAAAUGCUGUGUGGCUCUUGUCCUGCAUUGAUUCUCUCAUUCUUGGAUGGAGAAUUAUUAAACUAGAUGCACGUGCCUUAUUAUUCUAUGUUGAAAAUGCUUUCCAAAAUAUUCAGCAUAAAAAUUCGGGAUCAGUUAAUAUUCAUUUUAAAAUGAAAUCUCAUACUUUAAGGAUCACAGUCUUUUGUUAUGGGAAAACUAUUAGUAUAAAAGCCUUUGUAUCUUUAACUGAAACAGUCCCUAAUUUAUGCCUGAUUCUUCUGCUAGGUUAAUGUUAAUUAGUUUAACAUAUCACUCAUAAAAAAUGUCAUAGUUGAGUCACUGUAUAGGUAACAAAUCUUGCACUGGCUGGCAAUGAAGAAAUAUUGCCUCUAUUAAGACCCACACUUAAAUUGUGGAAUCGGUGAGGACUUGUGACAUUUUGCAGUCACCUAGCUUAAAGCAUUUUAAUGCCUUCAGUGGUGUGAGGUUUUUCUUGGAGGAUGGAGGAGAAGCAAGAGAGGUGGACUCUUCAGAACAUACAGCACACUGUAUGGUGUAGGCUAUGCCAGGAGAGAAACCUGAUAGGAAUUCUAGCUCAGAGAGAAGUUACAUCUGCACCAUAACAGUGAUCUAACCUUCAACAAAUCUGUCCUGUGUUCAGUUACCUAAAGAAAAAAGCAUAUGCAGUAAUGGAAAAUACUCAUUGUGACUACUGAGUGUCUAUUGUGACUCCAUAGCCCUUCUUCCAAAAUAAUUCCACAGUGUCCCAGAGGAGGUGAUAAUAAGAGUUUGAGAUUGCUGUUGCUUUCUGUGCCUGGGGAAGCCUGAGAGAUCUUAGGUCGGUGGAAUUGGACUUGAACAGCUUAGGGAGGCAUUGUCAAGAGACAAAGGCUUCACACUGGAAGUAUCAACCUUAGAAUGCCUAAAUCUCUAUUCCUAAGCACUGUUGUGGUUCUGGAGCAAGGCAGUACAUUUAGUAGGUGACAGAGAAUGGCUGAGUUUAGGGGGAUACCUACUGGUACAUCUCAGAGAUGGUAAACUAAAUAAAUGUGUCCCCUUGCAAAUGGUGUGAUUGUGUCCCAGUAAAGUGGAUCCCUGUAGCUGGGAGACCAGAACUGUAAUGAAAUUGAUCUGAGAAAAGGUGUUCACUUAGUUAUGAAAUGCAAGAAGAUAAACUGUGUGUGUAAUCAUCUCACAGUACAGGUAACAACAUAACUUUUUAAUUUUCCUGCUAAAUUCAGCAUUUCAGAGCUGAAGAAUGACAGUUUUGAAGCAGGUGGAGACAGUGGAAGAGAUGGAGCCUUCCCUUGCCACCUUUCAAGUUGUGUAUAUGCCUUGCUGGACUGCUUUAUUCUUCUGUACCCCUGUAGAAAGCAAAGUUGAUUCUUUGUUUUAGCCUGAAACUCACUGAAAACAUUAAAAAAGUUUUGUCAUUCUUUAACAUUCUGCUUUACUGCUUAUAGCACUGGCAUAUUUGUUGAGUGUCUCAGAACAGUUAGGUGUUACAGGAUGUAAAGCAUUUUUCACUUUUAAAUGACUGCAGUCUUCAGUGCAUCACACUGACCACUGAAUGGGAUACUAUUAGUGCAUAUAGCUACAAACAUUAGGUUUUCCUUCACUGGAAGGAGAUCUCUUUCUAUGAGCAGGUUGCUUUUGAGGUGCUGUUUUCCUGAGAAGUUUUUUCGUUUUGCUUACUUAGCCUUUUGUUCAUUUGCAAUUAUAAAUUGCUAGUGAGACUCUUUUGGUUUCCGUGAGAGUUGAAAAAUUGCAGCAAGCAAGCAACUUCUUUCUGCAUUUGCUUUUCACCUUGAAUUUGCAUUAAGCUUUCAGAUUUCUUUUAAUUUUAACCAUGAAAACUGAAUACAUUACUGUAAUUUUAUUAACAUCAAAAGGUUUCAAAUUGUUCACGUGUAGCUCUUAAAACUUAUAAAGCAGCAGUUUAAUACUUUGAAAUUCUUAACAGAUGCUCAGCUAUCUUCUUUGUAUUUAAGCUUAAAGCAGAAAGAAUUUUAAGUCAGUUAUAAUAAUAUAAACCUUUCCCCUUUACUUUGCAUAAUUAAAUAUUUUCAUUUACAUAGCACAAAAGUUUAACAUUCCAAACAGGAAAGAUAAGCAGGAGAAAAAGGCAGCCUAAGAUGCAUAUUUGACGCAUGCAGAGUAGUAAUGCACUUGCUGGUAAUCUUAUUGUGCUUGUUAAUAAUAAUUUUAACUAGAAACCAUAUGCAAAUUCAUGUGAAUAUAGAUUGUAUUUAACGUGUGAUUGUAAUUUUUUUUUUUAAUUGUGUGCAUCUAUUGAAGCACUCAGUAAAGUACAUCAGAACAGAGCCAUGAGUCCAGUAUCAUUGAUAUCUUUUCCUACUUGUUUUAAGGCCUUCAUUAAUAGAGCAGAUCUGGGGAACAUUAAAGAUUUCCAUUUAUUUGUUCUGUCAAAUUAGAAGGAUGCAAGAGGUGACCUCAGAACAUCUAUGUGGAAUGGUGUGAUCUGGUAUGUCUCUAAUUCACAACUGAGAUAGGAAAGCCUAAGCUAGAGGUGGUCGCUGGGAUUGGUCUGAGUAACGCUGCCUGUCAGAUUCACCAUCUCAGUGUCAGAGAAGUGUCUCUGGUAAAAUAUGAGGCCUCUGGUGUUUUCAGGACUUGAGGAUCCACGUACAGCUAUACUGCUGAUAUUUGGAGACCCAUGUAGGCAAAAUAUGUCACCAAUGGACAUGAAUCUCUGUUAUUUGUGAAUAAAUUUAAUGUAGUCUUUCUUGGCUAGUUAAUGAGACUCUUCACUAUGCUUGGAAGUAGUGAACCAAUGAAGUUACUGAAGAAUAAAAUGAAACAUUUGUGAUUCUUUUGUUUCCAAAUUACAUGCUAUCUUGAUUGAGAUUAAAUACAAACAUGUUAAGGGAAAAUGCAUUUUUCUUUCUUUCUUUCUUUCUUUUUUGUAAUACCUUUAUUUUUAGGUUUUUUUGUUUGCUUAGUAACUGGUGAAGUUUGAGGAUAUUUGUCCUGAUUUGGUCAAUGUUGUAGUUCAAAGCAGUUUUGGGACAUUUUUCAUAUUUAUUACACACUUUAACUCUUAAAGAAAUGUGCAAAUAUAUUGGAUGAAUACAACGAUUCUGUGAGCUGGAAUUGAGAGAGGGUGGAUUUCUGAGAAAGGCUUAGAUGACAUUAAACGCUUCUAAGCAAUGAAUUCUAAGGCAUACAUCUAAAUGGAAUAAGGAAACCAGAGAUCCAAGUAAAAGGGAGAGCAUCUGUAUGCAUAUGCAUGUAUGAGUGCAUGCAUGCUUUCGGGUGGGUGUUAAAGGAAGCUAGUGUAUUUAUCUUUGACCUUUUAUUCACAUUUCCUGCAGGGAUCCUUAGUUGAUGAGCUCUGAGAAUUUGUUUCACUUGUGCUUAUCUUUGUGCGGUUUUCUGUCAACUGCCUGUGUUCCUUCCAUUUGCAAGUAGAUUUGUCCCAUGCACUAUGCAAACCUUUGUGUUGUCUCUUUUGUCUUCUUUGAUGGGGUGAUGAUAAGAGAAGUUCGUAGGUGAGAAAGAGUGAGGAUUCAAUUUCUAAUGCAGCAAAAUUUCACAUCCGAAAGCUUCUUCUGAUAGCCAACCUUUUAAUAUAUUGAGAGUGGAUGGUUUUUAAAUAAAAUCCAAGAGUGCAGGUUAUUUGCUGCAAGAACAAGUAAAGCUCCAAGGAUACUGACAGUUUUGAUUUUCAAAAGCUUGUAAGAAUAUACAUACAUUUGUUUUCUUUUUUCUUGCCUCUAACAUUGAUCAUCAGGGAGAGCUGACAUGUUCUAAAAUGUAUCUGGGGACCUUUGAACACUUAAAAGAUAAUUUUAUUGGUAGAAGUGUAACCGGAGGAUCAUUGUGUUCUUUUCUUAAUUUUUGUAAUUGCUCAACUUUUUGUGUUAAGAAUUUUUUCAGCUCUGUUCCAUUCUUGGUUCAUUAUACUUGUAUCACAUCUCAGAAGUCCUUAGAAGUUUGUAUUAUAAGGUAGCUGCUUAGCUCAGAAAGUUGUAGUAGUUUCUAGAUUCGGGAUGUUUGGAUGCUUAGGGCUAGUAUGGGUAUGUUUUAAUAUAUAUUGAGUUAAGUACAAUGAAUGUAUUGGAGAAGUGGUGCCAGUGUUGUAGUCAGACUGGGAAAGUUGUUUCAGUAUAUGAGUUGCAAACGUAACUCUAUUCUUUGACAGAAAGAAUCCGUGCUGAAUGUUGAUAUAGAAGAUAGGAAAAUACCUGUCUGGCUUACUGCAUUUUGUUUGCCAUCAGUUUAUCCUGUGUGCCUUAAAUUAUUACAGAAGCAGUAUGCUGUUGCUUUACUAAGCCUUUCUCUUUCCCUUUUCCUAACUUUGACUGUCAAAGACAAUUAAAGUAAUUGUGUGCUGGUUUCUCAUCUGAAAAAAAAAAAACCCAACCAACCAACCAAAAAACAAAAAACAAACAAACAAAAACCUCACAAACAAAACAAGCAAACAAAAACCAGAAAAACCCAUACCAUGCCUGACAUUUGGAAAAAAAUAUUUGUAAUGCAUUCACUUUUCCUCUCUUUAUUUUAUUGUUUGAGGGCUUAGGGAAUGUCAGUGCACUGUCUUAUCCCAAGUCAUUAGUGAUUUGUGGAUGACUGCGUCUGAGUUUAACUGUUCUCCUGUAAUCCCUGGGGAUUAGCAUUCUUGGGUGUUUUAAUACUGGAGACUACCAGUAGAAACUGCAGUGAAUAAGCAAAUCCUGACUCAUGUGCAUUUAAUUAAUCCUAAUGCUGGGGACUUGGUCCAGUAAAUUUGUAUGUCUGGACAAGUGCCCAAGGGUUUCACUGACUCCUUAUUAUUUGGGUAUUGACCUUUGAGGGUUGGGGAAUUAGUGUAUGAUCUGCAUAUUACAUAGUUUUGCAGGACUCCUUUUAAUUCAAACUGGUCCUGCUGAUAUGGAAAAGGGUCAGAAGAAGGAGAUGCCCUUACUUUGUUUUGGAGUAAGAUUUUUAGAAUGGAGUUUGAAGAAUAGGCACCUUCACAGAGGUUUAAUCCAAUUGAGAGAUGGUCGGUGUAUCUCAUUCUCUUAAGGACUCUGAUGAGAUAAUCCCAGGUAACCCUAUUGUAAGCCCUUUUCAGCAUCUGGCAACACCACCAGUGAGUGUUGUGAUACUACAACUGACUUGAUGAGUCGCUUGAGGUUGUCUAGUCCAGCUCUGGAUGUAAGAUAUCUAACUUCAGCUAUUUAAUAAUUUUGAGAGCAAUUUUACUCAAUUUGAAAAGAGGAGAAUGAGAAUGAAAAGCUUUGGCAUAGAAUCUCCUUGUGGUAGGACUUUGUGCCCAGCAGGAGUGAAGAUUUACCAUGGUAGGGCUGGACAAUGAUAGGAAAUAGUUAAACUGACACACUUCAGUCCAUUUGCUGACUAAUUAAAGUUGCAUUUGCUUGAAAACUCAGUCAGUGGCACCUAUUGUAUAUAGGAAAUGAGCAUCCUUGAUCUGAUCCCAUUGUGGUGCGAUGAAAAUGCUUAUUUUGCUUUCAGCACUACCUGGGCUUUAUUAUGCUGCUUCUGUGGUUGGAUUCUUUUUCCUCUGUCACUUCUGAAAUGCAGGGCAAUGAAGUAUCAGCCAGAUAUCAGUUCUCCCUAUCUUUUCUUUGAGAGAGAGAGUUUCAGUUAACAUCUGCAUUGUUAGGGUAUUGCCUUGCCUACUCCACUAUAAUCUUAACAUGGUUAUUUGCAUCUAAGGCUGGUCUGAAAGUGUGAAUGUGAAACUGACAUUUUGCCUACCUGAAAAAGGGAGGACUUAAUUUAUUGGUAAGGAGUGGGAGCAAAUCAGAGGCAGGAAUACUGCCACUUGGUCUAAGUUUUGUCUUUUGUGGGGGAAAAUAUACUGACAAAUGCAUUAGGUUGUGUUUGAUAUGCAACAUUGGAAUGCUUACAGUAUGCAUAAAGACAAUGACUGUCAUUGGUAGCUCAGGAUCUUUAUGGUAGGGAGUGUAAGUGGUUUGAUUAAAUGCUAUUGUGCCCAAGAUUUUACUGAGCUGUUGUGGAUGCUUCAGGAAGAGCUCAAGUGUGGUUUGAGUUUGUAUCAUUGCUUUCUCACAAUCUUCUCAGCUUUCGGUGAUUUAUGGCUUGUGAGCCUUGGACUUGUAAGCAUGAAGUGUCUUUGUAGUUAAUAAUCUCUGUGGAUUUUAAGUCUCAUCACUUUGUGACCCCAUGGGAACCCGUAUUAUUGACUGCGUGCAGAAGCACCAAAUUCGACAACUGACCUGAAUCAGGUGAGGAAAUCUACUGUUGCUUGCUUUGAAACUGCUGUGAGCAGAUUGCUCCCAGUGCCUGUCCGUAGCUGUCACAGUAGAGGCCACUGCAUCCUGCAAGGACCUUACUGUGUUGACUAUCCUCUGUGGUCUCUUUAAGGAGGUUGAGGUGUCACAUGUGGGAACCAUCCGAUACCUUCUAUAAUUUCAUCCUUUGGUCUCCAUUUUCCUGUUCUGUUGUGUCCCACUGAGAGUAGAAACUAGAUUUAUGUAUUAAUAUUGCUUUUUUUUUUUUUUUCCUGUAUUCUGAAUUCACCUUGUAAUAAUUUAUGAUGUUCUGCUUCCUUUUUUUGUUUUACUUUCAGGCUGCUACAGAGAAUAGGACUAGCCUAUUCUAAUACAAUAAGCUAUUGUUGUCCCAGAACUUUGCUCCUUCUGAUGGGGCUAGUAGCUGUGUAAACAAAGGGAAGAAUGAGUAUUCCCUGCUGUCCUCCUACUCUACAUAUACACUUUUAUUGUCUUUUAUUGAAUUUUACCUACGGUUUAAAUCCUGGAGUCACUGAAGAUACUGAAAACUUCUAGAAAUUAAGGAAACAUUCUUCAGAAUAAAGCCAAAAAACAGUUGCCCUUGCAGAGCUGCCCUAGCUGACAAGGCAGACUGAAGCAGAGCUGGAGACCCGUUCCCCAGGGGUCAGGCAACCAACAUGAGAGUCAGCAGAGUAGGGCAGUCUGUCCUCCUGUAGGUUUCAAGUACGGCAGUGCUUUCCUGUUGCUCCAUCCAGUGUAAUGAAAUCAAGGAGAAUGUGGUAUACUGCUUACUGAGAGGUGCUGAUGGAACAGAGAAAUUGAAGACAAUUUUUUUCUGUUUAUUUCAUCAUUACUGUUUUGAUAUGCAUCUGUUAUUUCCAGACUGAUGUAUUUUUAUUAUGUUUGGUUUCUGAUAAUUUCACAGGAGAAAGCAAAAACUACUCUUAUCGGCCUAAUCAAGGGACUAAACUUUUUAAGAAGGCUAUAUGUUCUGGGAAGAGGGAAAAAACCCAACCAGAUGCUUCAAGUAGAUUUGGAAAGAGCCUCAAACUAUGCAAAAUAUGAUGGAAAAAAAAUAUAUAUUAUGUUCCAUGUUAGUUGAAUGGACGAUACAGCACAGUAACAUGGAGGCUGCUACCACAGUGUCUAGAUAUAACCCUGGCAGAGAAGGAAGGGUGCAGAUAUUAAUGGGAUUUGUGAUGCAGCAAUUGAAAGGAGAAGCAUUCAGAACAAGGUGCAUCUCUUUGGUUAUUACAGGUAUCAGAAGUAUUUUUACAGUCAUCUUACAGUGUUCAAUUUGCAAAUCCCAUAAAAACCCACGUAUUACCUGGUUGUUGCAAAUGUUUUUCUACAGUUCUUGAUUAAAAAAAAAAAAAUCAAGUCAAGUUACAUUCCAUUCUGUUUUUCUGUUAGAAAUCAUGCAUCUAGUUUAAGUAUGAACUUCAAUCACUACUUCAGAGAGCAGUCAGACAGUGUAUUCCCAUCUUGUAUUACCAAUGUAAGUUUCUCAGUUUUAAACAAGAUUUUAGUUAAAUGCAUUUGAAUUAUGAUUCUUUAAAUGUUAAAUUUUGAAAAAGGAUGUAAUAUUCACUUAGGAUCAAAAAGUUAAGAGAAAGACCAGAAUGGUUCUAAACUGGUCCCAGAAGAAUGGGGUUGCUGAACAAGCUAUUAAUUCUUACGUAUCACAGAAAGAAAAGGCAAAUCAUGUCAAGGAGUCCAUUUUGGAUAUAAAGGUGGAAAAAUGAGCUCUGAGCUAAGUAGGCAAGAAUUGUUUAAAUUAGUGUUGCUAAAAAUUUGGACUUCUUUCAUCCCUAGAAAUCACAUAGGUGAUAGUAAACAAAACAAAUGCUCUGUAAAUUCUGUGAAAGUGAGUUUAAAGUACUUUGGAUUCAAAUAUGUAAAGACAAAUCCUGAGUAACCCCAUCAAAUGCAUUGGUGCAUCAGUGUGAAACAUAGAAAGUAUCUGUUAGAAAAGAUGUGGAACUGCAUUCUGAUCUGUCUUAGGCCUGUUGAAUUGUUGAACAGCAUCAGUGGAACAUGGGUUGUCACCUGCUGACACUCUUCAAAAAGAAGCAAGAGAAGGAAGUCUGUCUGCACUGUCAGAAACUGAUGUCACUCACUGGGGGUUGUAUAUACAGAGAGAAAUAAGGCCCCCCCCCCCCCCAAAAAAAAAAAUCCAGUUCUGAGGUGUUCUCAUUGCAUGAGAAAAUGAUGCCUGGCUAUGAAGAGAAGCUUUGGUUUCCAAGAUGCACCUUAGGUUUUUUUUUUUUUUUUUAAGACUUUUUGUAGAGGUGUGUGUAUCAGUUUAGGACAAUAGGUGUUACCUCUGUAAAUCCUAAAACAGCAGGAGGGAAAAAGCACUUGGGCAAAAUGAAUGAAUCAAGUGGGCUUUGGGGAGCAACUGUGAAAAAUUGGGAAAGAAAAUGAGAAUUACUGAGCUUUGGUUGAGUAGUACCAGUAACGCUGACCUCCAACAGAGGAUUUAGGUGUCAGCAUUCAUUGCACAGACUGUAUUAAAAGAGGCAGCAAUGGUCAGUGUGUAAGUAUGCUGACCAUGCCAGUGAUGCUCACUGGGUAUUGUUUGCUUUGCAGGGAACUGCACUGAAUCUGGUAAGAACUUAGCUCUGAGUUUGUUUUGCAGUACUGUUAGAUUGGCAUUCCUGGUAUUUCUCUUCUAUAAGGCUGCUUAUUGAUGGCAAACACUUUGUCCUGUGCCGGAUACCCUUUUCUUGGGGUGUGUGCUGUUACAGUGUCCCACAGUCAUCAUCCUCUGGCACCUGCUCUGAAGAUAUCAUGUGCUCAGCUCAUUGAGAAUGAGUUCAGUUCAUAAAGAAAUGAGCAUCAGUAGCCAUUCACAUGGGUAUUUAGUUUCUACAUUUUCUAUUCGCUACUCUGAGGUCAGUAGCCUUGAAUACAAAUGGGCAGAAGUCAGCAAGGCUCAUGUUAAAGCAGGGUUUGUAUGGCUAGAAAAAUGCCUUCUUUUUUUUGAGAUUUGGAAGAACUGCUUACCUGUGCUUGCUUUUCUAAUUUUUCUGAUGGUGCUGAAAUGUCGCAAGCAAGCCACAGGCACAUGGCCCUUUUGCCACCACUCUUAGCACUGGGUGCAGAUAGCAUUUUCCAGGCUAUGUCUGUGUUGCAGGGCUGUCUAAAAGAAGGGAAUAUACUCUCAGACCUCAUUAGGGAGAGUGAUGGAUGGCUCAGCUGCAACAUGCCCUUUCCCCUUUGGAGUGAGCAUGGGAAGGAGAGGGAUCCUGGGAAGCUGUCAGCGCUUGGGAGCUGUGUAGAAACCUCUGUGUGCUGGGUCACCGAAACAGUGCUGAAGGGAGAAAAUGAGAAAAAAAAACUAGAGCCCUGCCUGUCCAAACAGGAUCCCUUACACUUUCCAACGUGCAAGCAAUGCUGUGUCCAAUGAAUCAGACCCUGACCAUGGAAUCAAGUGGGAGUUGAACAUUGCAUAAGUAGCAGAUUUAUUAAGAGCGUUUUUCUUGUUCAGUAAAUAAAAAUGAUUUCUGUUGAGUUGAAUUAAGCAUAAUCUGUACCUAAUGGAGAUUUACAUUUUUUUGUUGUUUCUGAUUGUUUUUUUUUUUUUUUGUGUGUGUGUAUUUUUUUUCUGAAACAAAACCAAACCAUGCAACCAAAAAACAUUUAAAGGAGCUCAAAUCUGAAGUUUAUUUUCAAUAGUAGUGCUAAACUUUCCGACUGGUGUGUUCUGCUCUAGUGCUCAUGUAUCACAUGAACCCGGUGACAUUCAACAUAAGCUGUGUCUUUUUGGAUUUAUGCAAUGCAGUAUUUCUCAAAUUUGUAGAUAAUGCUUAAAUAAUCCAGCAAGUUGUUUCUAACUCUCAUUCCUUUCCCUUGUCCAGAAGAACAAUAUGGUUUGCAUGUAGUCCCAUUUAAAUCGAAAUGAAGGCUGUCCUCUGUUUCCAGUUCCUUUAUGUAUCGAGGUGGAAACUUUACAUAUUGAUUGGUGUCAGAGAUCAAAAAUGAUGACAUGGUGUUAUUAAGUUGGGCCAAAAAAAGAAAUGUAUUUCUGGAGAAUUUUAAAAUGUAUUUAUUUACUUGGACAAAAAAUCAAGUAGCUUUGAAUAGAAGUUAUUUAAACUAUUUAUAAUGGGUUAGACUUCUGCUUCCAUGUUGUAGCUAAUGUAAUAACCUAGCUCAAGUUGAGGAACUUUUUAUAAAGUGAUGACCUUAAUUGUGUGCUCUUCUUGGAUGAUGAGAAAAUACUCCCAGUAAUAGAUGGAGAAAUGUGUUAGCUCAGAGUUUGAGAAAUCAGUUUUCUUCUUAAAAAUAACAUGCCUUGAUUUUCCUUGCUGCAUCUAUGAGUAUGUAAGGACAUGAUCUUUAAGGCCUCUUUGAAACUAAGCCAUUCCUUGAUUCUAUAAUUCUAUGAUAGUACACAAAGGCUGCAAUGAAAAUGGUCCCAGUAGAGGAUUUCAAUGUUAGGAGUGAGUCAAGAUAAUCAGUGUAUGCUCUCUUGUACUCUCAUGGAGAUGCAGGUGGAAUGACAUUGUCUGUUGUGCGUUUACCUUUGCUAGUGCACAAUGUAAAUGGCAUUUUUGUUACUUCACUUAGCCCUAUGUUUGGUUGGAUGCAAUUUGCCAGUGCAAAAACAGUGAAACUGAAGUUCUAUUUCAAUUGCUGUCACCUUAGAAAAAUAUUUCUUCUUAAAAAAAAAAAGAAGAAGAAGAAGAAGAAGAAGAAAGAAAUCAGUACAGCUGAAGGAAGAAAUGCUAAAUAGAGAAACAGGAUGAGGCAUUGUUGGCAAUUUAGUUCCAAGGUGGUUUUUGUACAAAAUUGGUGGAUAGAUUUCACUUCUUCCUGUUUUUUUUCCUUUUCAGUAUCCAAAUGCAUCAAUGAAAUCACAGAAGUUGAUUGCAUGAACAGGGAGAAGAAAGCUGUAAAACAUUUGCACUUUUACUUAGAGAUAAAAAUAAAAUAUUAUUUCCCUUUCACAAAGACCAUCUGAUCUAAUUAAAAAAUAUAUCUUUUUUGAAGGAAAAGGAUGUUCAGUAUUUCCUUGAAAUAAUGUUGAGUUUGAAAUUGACAGGAGAGAUGAGCUUAUUUAAAUUUCGGAAAAUUAUAGUUAAAAAAGUAUUGGUAAAUUUACUGUGGAACUUUUAGAGGAAAUCUGUUCAAAUCACGAGAGGCUGCUGGAUUUUUGUCUGCUGUGUAAGCAUUUGACAAAUGCAACCUGCUCAUACAGAGGGAAUAUCUCUUCUCCAUUUACUUCAGGAUAGUAGCUAUUCCUUUCAAAAUUAGGAAGCAAAUCGGAAAUGGAAGGCAGGAGAGCUUGUGAGAUGAAGCCACUGAUGUAGUUAAUCAAAUUCAGUAAAUGCAGAUAGAAUUUCUGGCAAAUUGCUGAAAUGCAAAUUGUGAGGAUAAUAACUAAUUUCAAAUCAAAAUGCCUUAAAGGUCACUAAUCUGAGAAUAAUUUUUCCUGAAGGAAAACAACUCAGCACAAAUACAAAGCAGGCUUGAAAUACAUAUAUAUUUUGAUGGGUGCGAAAAGUGGUUAAAACUUGUCUUUAAGUCCCUUGACUUAAAUCAUUUUAAUGUGAUCAAAUAAGAGUCUAUGAAGGGCCAUUCCUUUUUAUUUUAAUAACUACAGAAAAACAUAAUAUUUUUCUCAUUGUCUUUUUCCACCUUUUAUCCUCCUCUCUGAAGCUUAGAGACUCAUUUAGAGCCUCAGAAGGCUCUGGAGAGACCUCAUUGUGAUCUUCCAAUACUUGAAGGGAGCAUAUAAACAGGAGGGAGAAUGACUGUUUACGAGGGUGGAUAGAGAUAGGACAUGGGGAAUGGUUUUAAACUGAGACAGUGAAGAUUUAGGUUAGUUAUUAGGAGAAAGUUUUUCACUCAGAGGGUGAUGACGCACUGGAACAGGUUGCCCAAGGAGGUUGUAGAUGCCCCAUCCCUGGAGGCAUUCAAGGCCAGGCUGGAUGUGGCUCUGGGCAGCCUGGUCUAGUGGUUGGCGACCCUGCACAGAGCAGGGGGGUUGAAACUAGAUGAUCAUUUUGGUCCUUUUCAACCCAGGCCAUCCUGUGAUUCUAUGAUUUCAAUGGGUCUGAAGAUGAAUGAAGAAUGGAUCUUAAAAUCUGCUUGUGCACCUCCUCAAGGCCAUGUAAUCUCACUGAAUUUACUGGCAUUAAAAGCAGGGCAGAAGUUAAGGAUCGGUACAAAUAUCUGUAGGAUAUGAAUAUCACUUCUUUCUCUCCUUGCUUGAAAAGAAAUGUUAGCUAACUGAGCUGUGAAUAUGGUCUCCAAGAUUCUGUCUGAAGAGUGUUUUGCCUUUUUUUCUCCCUUUCACUCUGCCAAUAAAGAGUUUUCUUUUUGUAUAGCAGGAUUCUGUUUGUUUUUCAAUAAAUAGGAUGUUUUAUUCUGAAAGGAUAUUUAAUUUCCUGUAGCUCAGGGAGAGAAACAGUGAAGUAAGGUGACAGUUUAUAAAACUUUGAAAAUAGGAUUAAAAACUGAAUUCUUCCACAAAACAAACAAAUAAACCUUUUAGAUGUUUCCUUUUUCUGUCUCCUGUUUUGCUCUCCUCACUUUCCCUUCUCCACAACCAAAAAGGUCAAACCAAACAGAGCCCUCCCACUGCAUCCAGACAAGUAGAUAACACUUAUGCACUUUGCUUUCUGAAUCUGUUGCUGUGCUGUCUGCAGUAUGAUGGUCGAUCUGUUCAUGCAGCAGGGAUAGAAUAAGUAUCAAGACCCUAACUUUAGCAAAGCAUUUAAAUAGGUGGUUAUAUUCCUUUCUGCUAAGGCCAGUAGCAAGAUUUUUUUUUUUUUCUGAGUAAAAGUACAAAUCUGAAUUUGAAUAUGGGAUAUGAAGUACUUGGUGUCAGUCAGAGCUGGUGGAUUAACAUGUUUUCUGUCUGGAGUUUUUAUUUCUGAUACUUCACUGAUUGCAGAGGUGGUUCUGACAAUUUGAUGUGCAUUUAGAUAUUUUGCAUACCCCAAAGCAAAGUAGUCAUUCAAAAGAAAAAGGUCUGGAAAUAAUUUCAUGAUGAAUCUAGUAGGGAAGUUGGUAAGCUUGAAGGCUGGUAAACAUCUUGUUGCUAGUAAUUCAGGCAUGUUCUUAUGUGUGUCUAGACAUUUAAAAUGUCUCAAUGCUACUGAAAGGAUAAAAGUAUUACUUGUUGGCAAGAUGAACUGAAAAUACCAAGUUGUAUUUCAGAUAUCAAAUUCCUCCUCAGUCUACUUUUCUUUAUUAUAAUUUAGUGCAGUGAGAAGCCAAGUAGGUUUAAUGAACCACACAGUAUUCUACUGGACAAUCCUCUGUCUCUUUCCUAGAAUCCCUGUGAUAAGGCCUGUGAUGAAUACUGAUGUCAAAAUGCAGUGCAGUGGCAUACCCAGGGCCUGUGCUUUCUGUGUGGCAAGGUUUCCUUCUGUAUUAACAAGAGAGAUGGCAAUAUUUUAUAGUUACUAGUUGCUUUGGGCUCUUGGCAAGGUGUCAUGGUAGUGUCUGGAUAGAUGACAUUUGGAUCUGUCUGUUUUACAAUAAAAUGCUUUGGCACCAUAUUACCUGGGGCUUGAUAAGAGCAGAAGAAAGGAUGUGGUGUGUACUCUUCAAAUGGAAAUGCUGUAGAGUGUAUUAAUCAAUAUUUAAACUGCAUCAUGGCUUGGCUGAAAAUACUUUCUUAAUUGUUAGAAUUAACAAAAGCGCUGUAAAUAUAAGUGUAGAUGGGGCAAAUGGCUAAAAACCACUAUCUUUAGCCAUAGAGCUGUUAGGUAUAUUUUUUUUUUUAGAAAGAAUGUGAGUUGCAUGUGAACACCAGAUAAUUAAAACUUAUUUUUUGUUAACAUGUUUAUGAACGGCUGGAUUUAGAGUGGAAAACAAUAAUGAACCAGCGCUGUUUUCUAUUCAUUAGAUUAGACAAGGUCAGGAGCCGUAACGGCACUGCUCCACAGCCUGACUCUGCUUAGCAGUGCUGAAUAUGAUGAAAUCGUAACAGCAGUUUAAAAACACAUGGCUACAAAUAACUUGUCUGGGUUGGGUGAUGCAGCCUCCACAGAAAUCUUUACAUCUGGAAUGUGUGAAUUCACAAAUACCUCCUGUUAAUUAUGCUGUGUGACAUUUCUAAAGCUAAAUAAGAAUGAUAGUUAGCUAUGAAUCAUAUCUUGCCACACUGAAAUGCCAAGCUUCAUUUUAUUGCUGUAAAGAUUAAGGCCAGUAGAGUGGUAGUUAUUCUCAGCAUCAGAAUUUUUGCUACUGUCAAACUGCUGAUACAGCAUUUGUUUAAUAUAAAUGAACCUUUGCAACCUUAUAAAGUGCUUUAAAUCUAGAAAAAUUUAUGCUGUAUCAAAAGGUUAAUCCUGACAAAUUAUUGUAAAUUAUUUCCUGUCUGUGCAGUGCAGGUGCAGUGAAAUUAACUCUCUGUGUGCGGUCCAGUGACUGUUUCAGGGGAUUGAAGUGCACUGUUCCAGGUGCUGGCGGCCCUAAGGUGGUUGGCAGCAGCUGGGGGUUGGUCUGGCAGCACUGUUGCUGGGCUUGCCUUGGGGUGUGCCAGUUAUACGGGGGGUAAUGUAUCUCACUUCUGUCAACAUAGCAUUUUGGAUGGACUGCGUUCCAGUCUUGUUCCCCCAAAGAGUGGAAAAUGAAUACUGAAAUAACAGCAUCAAACCUCAGGAUGUAAAUGCUUCAGUGAAUCAGGGCCUCUGGCUUUUUUAUUUUCAUUUUUAUUUUUUUUAAGGUUAGCAUUCACUUCUGAUCUGGAGCGUUGCAUUCUUGAUCCUGCUGCUAAUGGAGCAUGGAAGAAAAUUCAGUCUCUAAAGUCCCGAGUUCUGGGUAACCUUUCAUUGCUGCAGAAAAUCCUGUUUCAGGCAUUUAAGCGCCGCGUGGUUAACCAACCUCAUAGCUCAAAUUUAAGCAAGUUCUCAUAGACUUCCAUACCUGUCACUUCCUUCUAUUUUUAUUUUGACUGAUAAAUUUGAAGAAGUGUUACUGAAGUUUUCAAUCACAGCAUGAAGUCAGGCUAUGGUGCAGCUUGCAUCUGUAUAACUCCUGUGUCUGCAUUAACUCGUAUUCUUAAAUUUCUAUUAUAGUGUACAGAAAAAAAAGCUAAGUACACAAUGGGUACGCUUUGAGGGAAUUGAAGUAAGCUUCUAAAGAUUAGGACGCAUUUUUAUGGUAGCUCCCACGUAGGUAUUCAGACAUGCAAAUGCUCUAUGCAGGAUGUGGCACUUUCUGUGCAUCCUGUAACAGUUUCUAGACACCUGAGAAAUGAAAUGAUGAGUUAAAAAGUGAUGUACCUUCUGCACUGUCACGGUCCUGAGUCUUAUGUUGGCAAGCAUUAAAUGACCCUUACACAAGGAAGCCAACUCAAUAAUAUGGAAAUAUAAGCUUUUCUGAUAUUAUUUAAUAAUACAUUUUGCAGUGAGACUUGCUGUAUACCCCAAAAAUCUAGGUAUUUGCUACCUCUCAGUCUCUCUUUUUCUCUCUCCGUUUUUAUCCCCAAGGGGAGAAAUAUGCAUGUUAGAGGCAAAUGCAAUAAUGUUGUGACAGAAGCUUCACUUUGCUGUCUUGUAUUCAUUGAAAUCCAGGGAGUGUCCAGUACAUGCAGGCCUGCAACUAGGACCCGUGUAAACUCAGUCGUAGGCACUGUUCUCCUCUAUAAGAGGCUGUUUCAAGAUGAAUGCUGGGCUCAGUGCUCUCUGUCAGUAGAGAGGCAUCCCAACCCACACAACUCACCUUCCCAGAGUGCCUUAACCAUCCCCUUUGCAUAGCCUGGUUUUGUACGGAGUGUCAUUUUGCUGAAGCCACGCCAGCGUGUAGAAGGGAGAGCAAGGGCAGCCUGUGGGAUGGUGCAGGCUGCGGUCAUGGUGCUUUCGGGGCCAGGGAAAUGGUUCAUUCCUCUUCUUAGUCCAACAACUGUUCAUAUUUUUAGCUAACAACUGUUUCAGCUUUUUACUUCCGCUAGUCUGGCUGGUGAUGCUUCUCUUCUGCAGCAUGUUUUUUUCUCUCUCUCCUCUUGAUUGAAGACCUCUCUUUGUAACCUCCUAUUGUAUCUACCCAAUUCCAUAAAUUCUUCUUCUGAAUUCCUAUUCCUUCCCCACAUAAAGACCCUUAUUCUCAGAGGGGAGUGCUUUUCUCUGGCCUCUGGGCAGCUGUUCUAUUCAAAACUUCUCCCCUGGAGUAAGAGGCAUCCCACAAUUCAUUGCUUUUUUUUUUUUUUUCUUUACCAUGGUGAAAGCUAAAAGAAUGUUUAACAAAGACCUACAAUUUGUGGGGAGGGGAGAUGUGAGUGUAACUUUGUAGUUUCAGAAAACUUUUGAAUAAUAUAAUUGCCUACAAUGUUUUUUCUACUGUCCAUUGCUACUAUUUAAAGAAUAUUUUUUGAAAACCCAAUCACUGUUUAUAACUGACCAGUAAAGAAAUAAACAUGCAGAAUUUGAUACAAGCAUCUUAUUUUGGACUUCAGAGGGUGAGUCAUGUAUUUUAAGUAGUUAAUAUUUCAAACAAUUGAUUUUUUAUUUUGCAUGGAUUUAAGGCAUACUUUAUGUAGUGAGGAUUGAUCACAGAUUAAUGGAUUGUGUUGUAUUUUGAAGAUGUUUGGAGGUCAAAUGUUAUGCAAAUGUAAAUUGAGGACAAUAAGUUGGUGAAAUCUUUUUUUUCUUUCUUUUUUUUUUUUUUCUGUUAUUGCAUUUAUGCCUUAAAGCCAAUGGCUUUUAAAAAUUCUUCUGCAUGUUUGGUAAAUACUGUUUUGAUAUUGGGAAUCAUUUGUGUGUUAUACAGGUUUGGAACAGGAUAUUCAUCUCAUGUUCGUUACAGAACAAUACGCUGAAAUUGGUGAUUUGAAAAAAUGCAAUCAAAUUUAAAAUUAUUUUUGUCUCUGUUUACAUAGUAUGUUGUCCCAGUUUUAUUUGUCAUAUAACUGUUAUCCCAAAGCAAGAUGAGGAGAAAAUACUUUACAUAUUUGGCUGGUUCUAUGGGUGCCUGUGAGAGACUUUCAUGUGCGUUGGGCCCUGCUGUGUGCUUGCAGGGGCCGCUUGCUUUGAGUUUCCUCUGUGUGAGAGACUUUUAGCAGUGACUGGGGGCCUAGUGAAAGCACUGCCAGGUGCUGAAGGGAUUUAAUUCCAAAUGCCGACCCUAUUUUUGCUUUUAGGUCAGGUCGUAUAGGAGGACAGGCUGUCGUGUGACCCACAGGGGCCUUUGGGCUGAGUGCAGGCGCUGGGCCUAAGCCCUGCGGAUGUGCUGGAUGCUGAGCCCAUCUCCAGGGCAGCCAUCCCACAGCCUUCUUUCCCCAACUUGCUGCCUGAGCACCCUGCCAUGGAGGGGGGAGCUGGCAAAGCAGGCCACAAUGGCCGCAUUGUUCGGCCGGCCACAGGCAUGAAGAGGCCUUAAACAGGAGCUUUCCUGAGCCUGCAGUCUAUUGUGCCACAGCCUCAUGGAAUGAAAAGUCCCUCGGUGUUCGUUAAAGGGAGUUGUGUCAUAAACGCUUCUUGUGUGAGAUUCUUAGCUCUCGCUAUUUCAGAGGAAUAAAUAAUGAAUUAAUUGUUUUUUAAAACACCCAGUGAAUGUACAGAAAACCAUUUAAGUUGGUGUGGACGGCGCUGUGUGAAACAUUCAUGUCACACUUUGCCACCACCGCAGCACCAAGGGCUAUUUUUUUCCUCUGGAGAUGUAGUCAGCCUUUUGGUGACCACUGGACUGUUGUGCUCAUAGCUCCUAUUUUUUAUUUUGCAGAUGUCUGUUGCAUUCAUAGAUACAUGGCUCACAUAUAAUUUCUUUGAGUAAGCUCGUUCACCAAUUUUGCAAAUCCAGACCCAUAUACCUUUUUUGUUUGUUUGUUUGUUUGUUUGUUACUGCUAAUACUAGAAGCCUUUUUUUAACUGCUGUGAAGGAUCAAAGUGACUUAGAGAGCUCUGCUGUGCUAUGGCUAUGUGGAGGCUUGCACUGUGCAUGUGCUGCUUGAGGAGCCCUGAUGUGGAGCUGUGGAGGAGCUUUGUGAAAGGGAACGUCUGACUACCAGAUGCAUUCGAAGCCAGAGCCACUGAGCGUUACUUCAUCUGCCUUGAGAAGAGCAGCAGGUUUUUUUUAAUGCCUAUGUGUUUGUUACGCAGGGGGAGUGGCUAUAUGUUUACUACAAGUCCUCAUUAAUUUUGUGUACCCCACUGGAGUUCUCUAGUGUAAGUGUGAGGAAAUAGAACUCACAGUGAUCUCUUUUCUUCCCUCAAGAUACAGGACUCUUACUAGGGUUUUCUGUCAUCCUUUUGCUUUAUCUUCCCCUCCACCCUUAGUCUCCUUGUGUGUUAAGCUUUGACUUCUGCCAGAUGCCUUCAGGAAUCUCAUGGAUGUUAGUGUACCUGUGCAACAAGAGCCUGGAUGUUAGGCAGGGGACUGAAGGCACCAGACAGCUGCAAAAUUGUUUUCUUGCUGUGCUUCCUGGGCGAGCGUGGCCUGCGGGUACAAGGUGGGCUGCUGCUGGAAUAGCAGGGAAUGUGAAAAAUAAGGCAUUCUUUUCUGUAGUGCCUAGGCACUGUCUGUGCCCCUGUACUUGCAGUCUCCUCUCCAGUGAGUGACAGAUUUCUGUGGCUUGAUGGAGUAGCCAGCAGCAAAUUCCUAGGACCUGUAGAGGGCUUUGGAAAAAUGUUUCAACAGCGCCCAAAGAUGAGAUAGCAACUUCUAACACUCAAGUUCAAUUCUCACCAAUUCGUUUCCCAAUUAGUGCCAAAGACUUUCAGAUCCCUUCCCUGUGUAUGCAGUGGUUGUGUUGUACUGUGGCAAUUACGUGCUUAAGGUGUUAGUUGCUUCCAGGAUCACUAGAACGAAAGUAACAGACACAGAUCCUGAUGAGAGAAAAGAUGUGGCUGUGGAUUUUCUAACAUAUUACAAAUAGUAGUUUAAACAUAGUUUUAAUGUAGAUAUACUUUUCCAUUUUUCCUAUCUUUAAAAGAUUUUUUUUUUUUUUUUUAAUACAGAAAUUCAGGUUGGGUAUCUCAAAUAUUGAUGAGAAGUCCUAAAUUAUUUGGAUAAUAGGUGAAGAUCUUAUGGCAAUUUAUCACAGCAUUUUUCUCAUUGCUCAGUGCCUGUGGAAAUUGCUGUCACUGAGGUAGCAAAAUUAUUUCUCCUGCAAAAGGACUGGAAUUUGAAGCCUUUGGGUAGGACAACAGAGUCAGAUUGUGAGCUCUUGCUUGUUUCAUCUUUGCUUGUGACUUUCAGCAGCUGAUACAGAAGAGGCAUGCUGGCUCUAGAGCUCACUGAACCUGUACCCAUCUGAUGCUUCUCUACAAGGAACUGGCUUGCUCUCGUUUUGUGCAUCUCCUGGCUCAAAUGUGUGAUGGUAGAGGUACAUCACUGUUAGAAAACCCAGGCAUUCAAAAAUUCUUGAGUGUUUCUCACCCCCAACCUUAGACAGUAUCUGCAAAGGAAAGACUGUUCUUUCAGUGGUGCUUGCUGGCAAAUGCUCAUUUGAAUGUAGAUGAGCAGAGCAAAAAUUGUACAUCACCAGCCUUUUAAAUGAGGUACCAAAAAGCAGGCAUGAUUAAAAGUGGUUUUUAUGUGCUGUUGCAUGAGAGAUGCCACUACAUAAGGUGAAUCAAUAUGAAGUCCAGACAAUUACUAUUCAAGGAAAGACUACCUUAGUGCUAUAGUGCCCUCGUUGGUGAUUUAAAUUGAUAUGCUGACAACAAAGUAUGAAGAGGGUGUCGGGGGUGAGCGUACUUUUCUGCCAGCUACACGGAUGAUGACAGUCCUUGGGCAGGAGUGGGCUAUAGGCUUGAGAGGACAGUGUUCUUCCCCCUAGCAGGGAGCUGUUGCAGCUUCCUUGUCAGAUUCCUCAUUUGCCACUGUGAACCUCUCCCCCUCCUCUUGUCUCUAUUGAAAGACAGACUUUCAGGCUUUGUCUACUGGAUGGUCCAACUGAUAAUUUUUUUUAAUAAAAUACCUUGUGUGAGUAGUGCUGCUUGUGUACGGAUGCCAGAGAAUAUAUGAUAAAAAUAAAAGAGGAAAAACACAGGGAAGUGGUAUAUACAAGCAGCAUGCAAAGUUGUUCAGAAAGCAAAUUGCAUCAUAGAGACUUUAAACUGCACAGUUUGACUCAGACUUGCUAGACAAAUGAUAGAAGCUGUGAUUGUUAUCAGAUGCUAACCUAAAAAUUAAGCACAGUAUAAGCUUACCCUAAGGUGAGCUUUUUGGUUUCUGUGUGUAGGGUGGAAAGGAUGUUUACAUUUUUUCAUUCCCUUGUUGUUUUCCUUAGUAUACAUUUACAUUUUCUUGUUUUGUGAAUAUAGGUCACAACCAUAGAAUACUUUUGAAGUACUUUUGAUCACGAAAAAUUCACAAAAAGCCUAUAGAAAAAUGCUUAAACGUGUGUAAUGUUAUUGCUGAUAAGUGAAGUAGAUGCCUCAAUGUUUUUUCUAGGUGGAAGUUUUUCAUGUAUCUUGAGGGGCAAAUAGAGAUUAGAUGAAUUUUGCAAGAUCUUUAUCAUGUCUGAUGUCUUCAAAUCGAUGAUGCUGGCUGGCUGGAGUGCAAGUCACUCCAUUAAGGAAAUGUCAAGUGUAAUUUGGGAGGAGAUGUGUUUUAAAACAAUACAUGCAUAAAAAAUAGCAUAAGGAAUUUGCCUCUGGGCUGCUUUGAGGGUGACACAUUAAUUGUCACAGAUGAAGAGGUAGACCCCCCUCCAAGCUCAUGAUUUCACUAUUCAUGAUUUAUUAGUCUUGCCACUCAUUAAAGGAGGACACAUGUGCUGCUCUCAUAGCAUUUCAAAGGUGAUCUGUUUUAUCUAAAUAUUUUAGCAACUAACUUGUAACCUUCUAAGAUCUACUUGUACCUUUACAGUACUUCCCCCAGAUGUUCUUUCAUUUGCUUUUUAAUUAAGUAGCAAGUGCAGUUUGCUUGGUUUUGGCUUUUUUCUUUUUUCUUUUUUUUCUUUUUCUUUUUUUUUUAAGAACUGCUGCUUUAUGAUAAAUAUUGAUUCUUUUUCUUCUCUUUGUCAGGAUGUACUGAAACGUAGACAGUUAAACCAGUGGUUCUUAUAUAGUACAUAAUAAAUCAUAUCUUGUCUAUUUUUUCCCUUUAUGCUUCCUGUUCAGUUUAUCCCAUUCAGCUCUGUAGUGAGAUCAGCCAGAUGCUGCUGUUGCAGCAGAAGUAACGCAGUGAAAAUGUGGCAUGUACUCCCCUCCCCUCCCCCCAAGUUUUUAUCACAGCUCAGUAGGUUUCUCUGCCAGUAUUCAUCUUGGUCUGCACACUCUCCGUCUUCUUCUUCUUCUUUUUUUCCCAUUUUCUUUUCUUGCUCACAAGCAUUCUUUGCUUUUUAGCUGAGAAAUUCCUCCCUUGUCCUGAUGGUGAUGACAAUGAUCCUAACUCAUGGGUUUAAUUACAGGGAAAACAAAUGAUGCUGCACAAGGAACAGAAAUGAAGACCUUUGUUAUGGCUUAUCUCUCUAAAUCUUAAAAAUGACUGCCUGGAGAUCUUUUUCAUUGCCUCCUAUAGGCAUUUCUGUCCAGAUUUUGUCAUUAAAGCAGAAUGCAUUGAACUGUAGAUCUAUAGGGUGCUAAGAAAACACAGAACAAUACAAGUCUGAGUCUUUUACCCAGGCAUGACUUUGGUCAUUGUACUGCCUCCAAAACUAUAAUUCCUACAUUUCUUUAUUAUUGCUAUAAGGUGUUCUUGCUUGGUAAUGUGCUGAAUAGGAGCGUCACAAUUUCUUUUUUUCUCUUAAGGUUAACUGUAAUUGAAAUGCUUUUUAUUAACUCUUUACACGAGUUAUUUUCUCCACUUAUAAGACUUGGAGUCCAUCAAUAUUGUCACAGGUUUUCAGAAAUUAUUGGUCUCUGAAAGAGUGACAUGCCAUACUAACUUUGCUCCUUCUGAAAGCUCUGAAAAAUGCAUCUUAAAUAUCCUUCUACAUCAUAUCUUGACUUUAUUUGCAUUAAAAAAUGCUGAAAAACAGUACAAUUCAUCAGAUACACAAGCUGAACCAGACUUGCUCCAACAAACUCUACCUCUUUUCUGUUUGUUAGUGGUAUGUUUCUUCUCUUCAGAAGCAUAAACAUUACUUGUAGUGGAGUGUGUGGAUAUAUUUAAUGUCUUGGCCAUAUGAGAGCCCCUCUUUGGCGUAAUCUAUGUAGAAAUGGUGCAGCUUUCAUUCAGUGAUGUCUUCAAACUACAUUUUUCAAAUAGAUUUUUUGCUGUAAAUGAAUUGGAAAUGAUUCUGUGUCACAAACACAGAAUGAGAAUAGAAAAAAAAAAAAUCCAGAAAAUUCCCCAAAUCAUUUUAAACACAGUGAGUAUAACUGAGUGGCAUUAACUUAAAGAAUGGAAGACAACAUGCUUUCUGUAAAGCUGCUCUAAGAUCCACACUAUUAGUCUGUUAAACAAGGCUGGGUUAUGCUGACAAUUUAGAAAAUGUUUUAUGUUGCUGACACUGUGUUUAUCAGAAAAUUAAGAAACAUUUUUGAAGCUUAUGAAAAAGGUGCAUCCAAUGUAUGGGAGAUAUUCUUGCAAAUUUGCUUUAAAAGUUUAAGGUGAAAAAAUAAAUUCUAGGUAUUUGCAGAAUAGAUUUAAUGACCAGAAAAGCCAAGCUAUAUUCAAAGAUGUGCAAAAUACAUCAGGCAACCAACUGCAUACAGCUAAUGCUCUUACCAAAAUUGUAUGUAUGUUGCUUUGAUAGUAAUGCCCCCUGCUUAUAUCCAUGGAAACUACUGCAGAUACAAAGAACACAAUAACACUAUUUGAUAGAGUAAAUUCUCAUCUGCAAAACACUUUUUCAACAUAGUCACUACCAUUAGUUAUGCAUUUUCACCAGCAGUGAACAAGAGCCUGCAUACUACUCUGCUAAAAAUCUACGUGAGUGGAGGUGACCCACUGUCACUGUUGCCACUACUGAAAUGCACCACCCACUGCCUCACUGUGCUCACGUCCACUGUUUGGUCUCCAUGAAUGUUCAGCAAGUGUCAAUGAAUGUCAAUGGGUGAAUUUUUUUUUCUGCAUGGAGGAAUUCAGUGACAGACUUUUUCUUCAUACACACUUCCACGUCAGACACCAUUUUACACGACUGCCCUGCUGCUGCCAUCUGUCACACAGCAACAAAAUGUAACAGAAAAUUGGUGGGAAGGUUCAGCCUCUUCUGCCAUACCACCAACAUCUGCCUCUGACGUUGUGGGCCCAGCAGCCCUCAUAUAUGUUCACUUUUUUUUUUUUUUUGCAUUGACUUCUAAUACAACAUCAAAAAUAUGGCACUAUGUAUACACUUUUACCAAAUCUUGUAUAUAUUGUCUGUUAGGAGUUAAAUUGUGUAAAACUGAUUUUUCUGUUGCAGAGCGCUUCUAAAAUUGCUUAGUUGACAGUACCUUUGGGAUAAGGUAUUUUCAAAGUUUUAAAGACUAAUCUGAAAUACAGGCACUGUGUCUUGUUUAUGCUUGGAGCAUAUGUGUACAGAGAGUGUGCUAUACUAGUUUUGCAUCUUUCCUUUUGGAUUAAUUGCAAAGUGUAGUUUUCAUUAUAAGUGGCAAAAGGUGGUAAUCAUAACAGUGGCAGAGACUGACUUGGAUGCAUUUUUUUUUUGUACGUGUUUCAUGAACAGUAAUUGU
rnacentral:lncRNA from 1 species